UACCUCCAACAAAUUUCUUAUUUUUUGCAUUAACUUUUGGUUCGAUAACCUCAACUUUUCGAUGGAAGCAGUAGAUCUAGAUUUAUAUAAAAAUUAAAGUUUGGUAUCUCCAUGUAUAGUCAUUGGAUGGGAGAUAUUUGAAAUGAUGGCGGGACGUGAUGCGCAUGCGCAAGUGGUUCGAUGAACGACGUGACUGUAGUCUAUAGUCUCGGGUUGCACAGUGAAUUUAGUCAUACACGUACUGUCAAGGAAUCAACAUGGCGUUGUGGAAAAUAUUGAGGUGUGUUUAGUGCUGAAUGGUUAUAAUUCUUGUGGUACAAUGAUCUUUUAAUUGCAAUCACGUCAUAAUAUUCUUGAGAAUGAUACUGUGUUAUACUUGAAGUUCCAUCGAGAAUCUUACACCAAAGCCAUGUCAAAGAAAAGUAGAAAAAGAAAGUCCGAGGAUGGGAGCCAGUCACCAGUUGACUGGGAGGAAGAAAAUAUUUUCUCUGAAGAAAUAAAAAAUGAAAUGGAAUCUAUGUGGGAGAUUCCACAGAUAUUUCAGUUCCUUCAUUUGGCUAAGGAAGCUCUAAAUAUACCUCAUUUAUCCAUGUAUGAAAUGGAACGCAUGCUUUUAAUUCCAAGAGCUUCAAAACAACUGGCAAACAUUAUGACUUGUUUACUAAGUUCUCCAAUGACAAAAUCAAAAUUGAGAAAGGUACCGCCUAUGCCAUAUGAGUUUUGGACAAAUAUCUUGGCCUACAAAAUGAAGAGCUGGUUUAAAGUGUAUGAAGCAAAGCAUCAAGACCCAGUAAAAAUUCUAGAGACCAUUGGUGUUGAACCAGAAUUUUGGAAUGUUUUUCCUGAUGCUCCUCUGCUGAAUGGCAAAGAUUUUGAAGAGCUGACCUUUAAACAGAAGGUGUGGCUUUUGAAAACAGUCUGUGAUACAGUUAUGCACUCUAGGAAAUCUGUGCAAGAAGAAAUAGCCAAGCAACCAUGGGAAAACCAAUUUGAAACUGUCCUAGGAACUGAUCGUUAUGGCGCAAGAUACGUUUAUUUUCCACAAUUUUUGAAAAGUGAUCUACGAGUGUAUAGACACUGUCUUGAUAAUAAGAUUUUCUCGACGGUGAAGGUACCAUUAUCACAACCUAUCAAGCCAAAAUUACACGCGGAAAAUGAAGAGCUGGAUGAAAAUGAGUUAAUAAAAAAACAAGUUAGGCGCAGAAGAAGAAGAUGGUGCAACGGUUUGCCUCCGAAAUUAAAGAGGAAAGGAAAUAAAUGUGAUGAAAAACAAUUAAACGAUAUUAAGAGUAACAGCGAUAGCGCAACAAGUUCCUUGAUAAACGAAGAUACAAGUUUGAGUAACCUAAGUACAUGUAGUGAUAGUAAUAGCAAUAACAAUAACGAUAUCAAUCCGACCACUAUCAAUGUUAAAAGACCGAGAAGUUCAUCGAAAUGUUCGGAAGUAAGUAUGGAAUCAGAUAAAACUUGUUGUACAAAAUCGAGUGGUUACGAUACGAAUCGUUCUAUCGACAAUCUUUCUGAAAGCAAAUCACCGGAAAGAAUGUUCAAAGGUUUCUCGAAUAGCAGUGAUAUUACAAAUAAAAAAUGUGACAUAAAUGUAAUUAAUGGACUAUUGACUAAUUUACAAUCAGAAUUCAGUGAAAUUGAAAGUACAGAAGAUUCUGGUGUAAGUUUAACGCAUACUUCCCCAAACAAAUUGGAAAUUACAUCAGCGAAAGAGCAGUAUUUAGAUGCAUUAAAUUUGCACGCAACUAAGAGUGAACCUGUCGAUAGAACAAUUGAUAGUUUGUGUAGUGUCUCGAAGACAGACGAUGAAAAGUUGAACGAAAUUAUCAGCGCUGAAAGUUUAAAGGUUGGCAGUGAAGCACAUCAGAUGACGACAUCAAAAUCUGAUGAUGAGAAGUUAAGCGAAACGAGAAUUAAUUGUGACGCGACUGAUCAGUCUGAAGGAAAAGAGGGAAAUGAGAUAAUCGAGAGACCAAAUGGACAAUAUGCCGACAGCCAGCAAUCAGAUAAUUUGAACAUUAGUGACAAGGAAACGCCACAUUCUAAAGCAACAAGUAAAAGUAACAAUGAGAUAGAGUCUAAUGACGAUAAAGAUCUUUCUUUGAGUGAGUUAAGAUGCAUGUUGCAAAAAGAAGCGAUGGAUGAUGAGCACUAUCUUGACGAAGAGCGCAAAAAGAAUUAUAAUGACCGAAAAUUAAAGAACAACAUAGCAGAUAUGUGGCACCAAGAAGUGGAGAAUUUUAAUGAGAUGCUUUCAGAACUUAGCUCUUCGGAAUUUCAACUUGUAGCUGACAGCGUCAGUUCAUUGAGAGAUCUCAUUGCUUCUUUCUCUCAAAAGGAUGAUGAUACAACUACUGAUGCUGAUGGUGAAGACGAAUCUAUCCCUCCUUGUGAAGUAAGUUUGAUUAAAGAAAUGAUGGAUUUACUAGCCACUGUAGAAAAAAUAGAAUCAGCUUUACGUGAGUCGACAAGAAGGGCCAGAGGGAAACUUCAAAAGGAAUGGACCAAUUUUAAAGAAGGCAGUGUGGAGGAUCAGGACUCAUCUGGGGAGGGUCUCGACUCUAAUUGGUGGGUUCUUGGAUCACAGAGCUGUCCACCGCCAACUUCCGGAGAUUCAACGUUACAAACGUUACCGCAUUUUACCAUAUCCCCAACUGGCUCCCAAAACGUUUCCAACCAAACUGAAGACCGUCAAGCAGACCAACGUACGAACUCCGUCGAAUUCGAUAAAAAUAGCAACCAACAAUGUAAGGAACAUCAGGGUGAAAGCACGCAAGAUGAAACGCAAAGAAGUCAAUCCAACGGAGGCGAAGGAAGCAUCCAGGACGGCGCCGAAGACAAAAAAGAAUCGAAAGAAGACUCGAACCAAGAAGAACUGCAAUCGGGAAGAGUGUUGCGAGCACGCGGUGUCUCCUCGUACACAUUUUAUUCGGACGACGAGACUGAAGAGAACGAGUUGGAAGAAUGGCCCGACCUUGAGGCCAUCUACGCGGCUCCCACUACACAGGCCGAUUCAUCCACUCCUUACCUUACUACGAAAAUCAGAAACCUUGACAGUCGAACGAACGAGGAGGACUCAGACCAGGAUUGGAUUCUACCGAGCUCUCGCAAAAGGAAAAAUAAACGUCCGUCUGCCAGCCGAAGAUUAAAAUCCUUUCAACAUAAGUUACAAAGCAUUAAGGUUGACACCCUCCAAAACAUGGCAGAGCCAAUAGUAACUACCCCUAUAAAUAUAAAAAACCAAAAGCCGAAACCUAAAAUCAAAGAAAUUCAAAUAUGUAAACCAGAAGACCCACUUAGUUCAGAGAAUCCUGAUCCUGCGAUACAAAAUGCUGUACAAAAUCAUGAUACCGAGGUACAAAGUACUGCAGAUAACCACGACACCAUGGUACAAAAUACUACAGAGAACGGUGAAGCAGUGGUGCAAGAUGCUGCAAAGGAUCCUGACACCGUGGUACAAAAUAACCCUAAAGAACCAGUGCCUUCCACGGAAAUCACCUGCAAGAUCGAAAAUGUCGAAAGCGUACACUCAGAGUUGGACAUCAAAGACGAAGGUCCAAUUUAUGAUUGUAUGAGUCAGUGCGAUAAUACCUAUGCUACUAAUUUUAAUCAAAAUUAUGUGAUGGUCAGAGAUGAUCACAAUCCAAUAAACUAUUACGUGAUGCAACCGAAUCCUGUGAACGUUGCUACACAAAACACAUACGGGCAACCGGGUCCAGUGGUUUCGAACAUUAUAUCACCCGUUCAACAAGGCUACUACAUGCAGGGAGGGCAGAAUUACAUUAUUCAAAAUCCACAACCCAAUUUCAUACCUUCCCAACCGUUUCAACCACAAGGCCCACAAAUGAUUGCUCCUCAACAGUUCAUCAGCCAGCCUGGUUACCUGCCUUACAUGAUGACGCCGACGCAAUCGCAUCCUGAAUACGUGCCUGCAGGUUCUCAAACUGUUGCUGCUCAGGAGAUGCCUCAGAAUCCUAUGUACAUUCAGCCCCCUGCAGCUCCCCCACCUAGACCAGUUCAAAACAGGUACAUCGUACCGCGACAAAAUCUUCAUUCUCACGGAGCUGUUAUAAGAAGCAGCAUGCCUAUCAGAGGAAGUUUCCCACGGGCUAAUACCGCCAGGGGAGCCAAAACCUUUCAGCAACCACGUGGUUCCACUGUGAGACCCCAGAAGCCAAGGAAACAGAUUGCACCCGCGGAAACCACUGGUCAAAAGACUACUUCUUUAAUUGUCCUUAGUGACAGUGAUGAUGAAAUUGAGAUGAUCAUUACUGAAACCAGUCCCGGAGCUGAAACGGAGAAAACAAAGACUACUCAUCGGAAGAAUUACGCACAGUCUAGACAGAAUGUUACGCAAUCGAACAGCCCGGCAACAAAAAGUGCCAUCUCUCCACAGAUAAUUCAACGUAUGACACAAGGAGGCAUCUCGAUAACGCCCAUUAAGUCUGCACCACCCGUUCAGAACUCGAACACACAGUUAGUAGUAGUCGUGAAUGAAACUGGAAGCCAUUAUGCCUUAGCAUUACCUAAUGGAAGCAAGUUGAUCCUUACUCCUGAACAGGUGGCGCAGAUAAGAGCUUCAAACGGGGGAAAAUUAAUCUUGUAAUAUGUAAAUUAUUUUCGGAAUUUGUGGGAAUGAACUUUGAUCUCUUAUUUGUCUACGAUCUAGAACAGUGAUGCGGAUAGAAAGGACGCCCAAGAAAAUUUAGUAGCACCUGAGGUGCACGGAGUGCGAAAUUAAAGAUCCAUAAAGAUUUGAAACUUAGAUUUAGAAAUUGAGAAAUUGUCUACCCGUCACUGGUCUAUGGUAUAUUCUUAUAGACAAUGUAUUCUGAUGUUCCUACAAUGUGCAGCAGAAGUACGAUUUUUUUCUUGCGACCGUUCAGUGAAUUUAUAAAAACAUUUUGAAGGCAAGAUAUUACUGUAACACGAAGAUACCAUUAUUUUAAUUAUUAUAUUAAUGACCUAAUCAGUAAGUUUUCUUUUCAUUAGUUUUAUCAGUUAUUUGAUUUCAUAUUCAUCAUUCAUUAGAUUUUUUUACUUGAUAUUGAGUCAAGUUAAUAAUACAUAUAUAAUCUAUAAUUAAACUUUGUUUUUUCCCAGUUGCAGUGUUAGAACAUAAUUAGUGAUACUUGUGACCUGUGAUGUCUAUAUCCAUUUUUAUAUAUUUUGUUAUAAAAAAACAAUAUUGGUCUUUUAACCGUGUGAAUAAAUCGAAUAUUGUAACGAGAUGUUCGUUUUAUUCAUCAUUAAGGUAAAUUCAAAAAUGUAUUUUGGUUUUGAACAGCAUUUUCUGAAGUAUUUUUACAAGUAUAAUAGAAGUUUCUUUGACAAAGUAAGACGGUUGAUUAUACAACAUAUUGCGUGUGUCAUAGUGUAUUUAUAAUUUAAGCAUUAAGUGCAAUUAUAGCAAAAAGGUAUAUAACAUUCGAAUAAGUAAAAUUACUUUAUAUGUAUUAUUUGUAGAAUCGAAGGCAGCAUUUUCUUUUUGUAUAGCGUUUAGCUUUGAAAUCACAAAUGCACAUUAAUAACAAAUAUUUCUAAGAUCAGUAUAAUAAGAAAUCACAUUUUCAGAAGUUUUUAACAAGCCUCUGUAAACAAUAUAUUUAAUAAAUCAAGACAGAAGGAUAAUACAAUUUUCAGUAUGUUACGCGUAUGUUACAAGUAUAUUACAAACCCUAAAAAGAAAAGCUUUGUACACUUCACAGUGAAUAGGAACGUUAAAUAUUUUAAUAACAAUGAAUCUUUAUAACUUAUCAAAAACAUGAGAUGCGGCAAGUCUUCAGAACAUUAAAAAGAUACAGGAACUUAUUAUUUACAAUUGACAAUAAAUUACGUGAAUGUUACGAUAAAAGCAUUUGAUCCAAGAAUUUUAAAAUAUAAUUUAGAAGAAGCUAAACAUUUGCCAAUAAAUCUGAAAGAAAGGAGGGUGUAGUCGCAUCUAAAACAGAAACGUACACAAUUCAAAUGCAAGAACCAAAUAAAAAUUGAAGAAGUAGUGCAUUGACUGCCACAGAGUUACAAAUUUCAUAAGUAUUUAAAAUUAGAACCUGAAAUAAUGAAUGCAAAAGUGAGAAUAUAAACACAAAAAUUUCUCUCGUCUCCCAAUUAAUUUGGACAAUGAAAGUUCCACUUGAAGAUGAAAUCCGUAAUUUAUUAUGGCAGUGAGCGUUUCAAUGCUCGCGAGUGAAUCUCUUCCGGGAUCAUGAAAAGCAGGAAGUACACCGAGGAAAGUGUGAUCGAGAGACUUACGGAUAGCAUGGCCAACAGACAGCAAACGUACACGGCUCCUGGAAUCAGAAAAUGGGAUUAGCUUUGCGUGAAAAACGGAAGGGCGCAAAAAAACAUAUUCCGAUCGUGCAACCUUGUGCAAGAUCGCUCGUGGACAUACUCCAUUAUUAAGUAAACGUAACUCUGUGAAAAGUGGGCCGCCAGGAAAGGGAGUCAAUGCCGUGUGAGAGACGGUGGUGUUUUUGUCGUCACUUAAUAAUUACUAACACCUUGUAUAGCUUAUUCUAUUGACUAAAUAGAAGGAAUGAUAUAUUAUUAUAUAUUGAAAAAUGUGUUGCUAUCAAAUCAAGUACAAGUUGAAAAUUUGCCAGCUCAUUUUAAAAUUUAAACUGAGUGUGCUAAAUGAAAUAGAUCAGUUUCUAUAAUGUGUUAAUUAAAAAAGAGAGAAACACCAUUCAUUGAUCUUUAACACCGCUCAAGCGCGUCUUUUGCAAGGACGACAAGAUCGCUGCGGUUCCGCGUGGUGCGUUUGAUUAAGCUGAUACCCUUCUGACAUUUCGUUGACAGAAUACGAUACUCACGACUCACAUGUUACAAUACCAUUGUAUCUAUUAUUUUCCGAUAUAAAUUAUCCUAGCAUGCAUGCAUUAAUAGUUGACUUGAAAUCUGGUUAAUUUGAAACACUGCUAACAAUCGAUGAUUUAACAUUCAGUUGGACAUAAAUAGAAAAUGAUCACGUUCAGAUCUGAGGUAACAAAGUUGUAACUUAACUAUAAUUACUAGUACAUACACUGCACAUAAGUACUGAUAAUUAUAUGCUAGCGACCAUGGCAUAUAAUUAUGCUCGAAACAUUAUUUCCUCUUUAAAAUUUAUAUCACAGCAAUAAAAGAGGCAUUGUUAUGCUAAUCGAAAGUAGAGUCAACUUCGAAAAUCAGCUUCUCUCAUCAAGAUGUUCCUAUUUUUUCUAGGUCAAUGUUUAACGAGGUGUAAAAGCGCAAACGUUACGAAAGUGAUUGCUGAUUUACCUAAAACACCGAAUUAAAAGGGUAACUUAUGAUCGCGUACAGUGCAAGAUACAUUUUGACCUGACAUUUCCAUCUCGACAUUUGUCUGUGACAUUUAAGACGUCCGACGAUUCACUGUAGCAAACAUAAAUUUGUUGCUAAAUAAUUGUCGGUCAGAGAUAGAAUCUGGUUUGAGUUUUUUAAAAUCAAGAAAGGGAAAGUUAAAUUCGAUUCGUGUAAUUGCAAAAACAUAUGUCACACUAUUGAAGAAAUAAUGUUUUAUGAGUUAUGAAGAUGUAAUGUGUGUGUACUAUAUCGAAUAUCCCUAUAUCUUUGAACAUUAAAGCGAUACCGUAUACUUAUAGUGAUAUAACAUAAUAACACUUUCAUCUCAUGAUAAUUUACAUAACAUUAUACAGGUUUUUACGUAUGGAAAACAUAUGAACAGUCCUCUAAUUAUUUACAGUGCAAUUUGGAUAAUAACAUGCAUUUGUAACUUCUAUUACUGUUAUACUCAUUGUCUGAUAAUAACUAAAUUACGUUCCUUGUUAGUAUCAUACCGUAGAAUUAUUUGAUGUUAAAUUUGUUAAUUGCAAUUUAUUGCUAUGUUGUGUCACCAAAAUAGCGUCAACGUAACACGAACGCCUAAUGUACUCGCGAGUUUCAUCCUGCAUACCUAAACGAAGACGCAAGAAAUUGUGUGGGUUUCUCCGUUUUUCGUGGCUAAAAGAAGCCUUAUUACGAGACGAUGCCUGGUCCAAUGUUAAAUAGACCGAUCAGAUUUAAUUAAGUUUGUUAGGUAAAUUAGCGCAAAACAAACUUGAACUUACCCAUGCUGGUGAACGCGUUUUCCACAGGUAACGACAACACCUGUUGAUCCACGCGAGACGGCGUCUCUUGGUUGACUGAGAUUGCAGGCGAAUUCUCGUCUUCCCCGCAGACCCUGAAAGAGUGAGUGCCGUUAUGUUGUACAGGAUGUAUCAGAAACGUCGGACAUAACAGUACGCGACCAUACGGUUGAACGUUUUAUAAAAAGAAGAAAAUUUUGUUGGAGAAAAUAAAUACAUUUAACUUUC